rfam:Desulfuromonas acetoxidans DSM 684 ctg65, whole genome shotgun sequence.
CGGGGCGUAGCGCAGCCUGGUAGCGCACCUGCUUCGGGAGCAGGGGGCCGGAGGUUCAAAUCCUCUCGCCCCGA